AAUUGACCUCGGAUCAGGUAGGGAUACCCGCUGAACUUAAGCAUAUCAAUAAGCGGAGGAAAAGAAACCAACAGGGAUUGCCUCAGUAACGGGA
rnacentral:rRNA from 1 species